rnacentral:misc_RNA from 1 species
GCACAACUUUAUUAUGCAAUAUGGACACCAAAUUACAAACAUAGGCACUUCAACAAUUGAACCACUAGCUCUCACCAUCAUGGCUCCACACAUAAACACACAAAAGGAGCAGAUUUCAAACCAAACAAACAAGCCCUUAAUGACUCACAUCUCUGUUCGGAUACGAGAGACACGUGCAGCGUUUUCUUUAUUCCGAUACUAUAAUAUAAUAAUAACGACUGCACUUGAUCAGGAACAGAGAAGGCUAAUUUUGGCUAAAUUGCCAACACCAAACCCGGCACUGACUUCCCGACCCGAUUGGAGAGACUGCUCUCCCAAACGAACGGGCAAUGCACGGGAGUUAUCUCCGCCGAUGAAGAUGACGAUGAAGACGGAGAUGAAUAAUCAGAAGGCUCUGAUUGAUCUUGGUUUCCAAGACGAGUAACAGUAAGAGAAGUAUUGAAGUACUCUCUCACCUGGGUAAUUAUCCCAUCCGUGACGGUCCAAGCGUGAACCCAAGAAAUGGCGCGGCUAGAAUCGCAGCCUUCAGCAAUCACGAUCGAUCCAAAGGCCCUGAUGACCUCCGGUUUGAACUCAAAACCAGUGGAGCUUUUUCCAACUUUUCCUGAUGAUACGGUGUCAGUACCAGUGAGAAGGCGCAUCAUAAACUGGUGAGACGGCGGGCCAUGGAACCACCACUCGAGGUCGGAGGCAAGGAUCUUUUCAACAGUGUCCACGUCUCGAGAUCUUAAGGCCUCAUAGAGGUCAAGAACCACCUCUUGGUUCUUUCUUGAUGAUUCUUCCAGUAUUUCCUCUGAGUUAGCCAGUUCGAGAAUAAGCCCGGAGUCGGCCCUUUAACACAGAAGCUAAGAGAUAAAGAGAACAGAGAGUUCUAGAAAGAGAGAGAAAUGGUUUAUGAAAAAGGAACCAGAAGAAACUGGUGAAGGUUUCAAAUGGAGAAGGAGGACAUUAUAUAG